rnacentral:rRNA from 1 species
CACGGAUGGGGCAAGCGUUGUUCGGAUUUACUGGGCGUAAAGGGCGCGUAGGCGGCCAGCACAAGUCAGUUGUGAAAUCUCCGAGCUUAACUCGGAAAGGUCAACUGAUACUGUGCGGCUAGAGUGCGGAAGGGGCAACUGGAAUUCUUGGUGUAGCGGUGAAAUGCGUAGAUAUCAAGAGGAACACCUGCGGCGAAGGCGGGUUGCUGGGCCGACACUGACGCUGAUGCGCGAAAGCUAGGGGAGCGAACGGG